rnacentral:snRNA from 1 species
GGAUGUGAGGGCGAUCUGGCUGCGACAUCUGUCACCCCAUUGAUCGCCAGGGUUGAUUCGGCUGAUCUGGCUGGCUAGGCGGGUGUCCCCCUCCUCCCUCACCGAUCCAUGUGCGUCCCUCCCGAAGCUGCGCGCUCAGUCGAAGAGGACGACCUUCCCCCCCGAGGAGAGAACCGGUCUUCGGUGAAGGGUAUACGAGUAGCUGCGCUCCCCUGCUAGAACCUCCAAACAAGCUCUCAAGGUCCAAAGACUCCAUAUGAUCAUAUGAUAUUCUCAUUUUUGGAUUCUUUUUUUCAAAAGUCAUAUAUAUAUAUAUAUAUGACCUUUUUU